rnacentral:rRNA from 1 species
GAAUGUAUCGGUUCUCGUUCGAUCACCGAAGUCAAGCAUCAUAGGGCGCGGUCAGUACUUGGGAGGGUGACCACCUGGGAGCACCGAGUGCCGUU